UUCUCUGUUUCUCUCUCUUGAUUUUCUGAGCAUCAAGUUUGGUUUCUUCCUUUUGCUUUUUUUUUUUUGUA
rnacentral:ribozyme from 1 species